rnacentral:rRNA from 1 species
CAGUCGCCGCGGUAAUACGUAGGGUGCAAGCGUUGUCCGGAAUUAUUGGGCGUAAAGAGCUCGUAGGCGGUUAGUCACGUCGGCUGUGGAAACCUGGGGCUCAACCCCGGGCCUGCAGCCGAUACGGGCUGACUAGAGUUCGGCAGGGGAGACUGGAAUUCCUGGUGUAGCGGUGAAAUGCGCAGAUAUCAGGAGGAACACCGGUGGCGAAGGCGACUCUCUGGUCUGUAACUGACGCUGAGGAGCGAAAGCGUGGGGAGCGAACAGGAUUAGAUACCCGUGUAGUCCCUGUCUCUUAUAA